UACAGAGGGUGCGAGCGUUAAUCGGAAUUACUGGGCGUAAAGCGUGCGCAGGCGGUUUUGUAAGCCAGAUGUGAAAUCCCCGGGCUCAACCUGGGAACUGCAUUUGGGACUGCAAGGCUAGAGUACGGCAGAGGGGGGUAGAAUUCCUGGUGUAGCAGUGAAAUGCGUAGAUAUCAGGAGGAAUACCGAUGGCGAAGGCAGCCCCUGGGUCGAUACUGACGCUCAUGCACGAAAGCGUGGGGAGCAAACAGG
rnacentral:rRNA from 1 species